UUCUUUGUAGUAUUCUCCAAAUUGAGUUUCUGUAAGAGCAAGAUUAUCGGCGUUCUUAGCCUGAUAUCUUAACAAUUAAACACAUUUAAUUAAAUGGAAAAUAGCCAAUAAAAAUAAGGACGUUCCUUAAUUAAGAAGUUUUGUGAGAUGUUCUUAAGGACACGUGUCCAAUGUCCAAUCUUUCUUUCUUUCGUUCUAUUUCUCUCUCCCUCUAGGCUCUGGUUCACGAUCAUCGCCGCCACAAACUGAGUCAAAUCCAAGCAGAUGUUUUGUGAAUCGAAAUCGAAAGGUGCUGACUUUGUUUCUCUCGGUUCUCUAUCUCUCUCUCUCUCUUUGUCGGUAAAGGCGUCGGAGACGAUCGGCUUUUCAAAGGAUCUGCCAUGACCAAACGUGGCACUUACGCGGCUCUCUUACAUGGCCUGUGCUGUGAUGCUUGUGUUGUUUAAUAAAGCAGUAUAGACGGGUUCUUGGAUGCUCCAUGGAGUUUGAUGAUGAACAAAUAAGAUCAAAGAUUCAAGAGCUUGAACGAGCUCUUCUCAGCGAUGAAGAUUGAAGAAGGAGCAGAAACAUUGGGGAAAAAAAGAGAAGCCUUUAAUCCUCCAAUUGAACAAUACAACGAUUGUGCAGGUAGAGGAACGUGUGUGUUCCCUGGAAGCUAGCAGAAGGAAUCAGACCAUUCACAAUGCCGCUGAUGAAACUAGCAUGUACUGCACUUGAAAGAGUUCCUGCCCAAAGAUUAUUGAGCAACUAUUAAGAAAGUUACAUCAAGAUCUCAAAGUGUACUCAAGCAUCUUUAGAGGAAAACAUGGAUCAAAACAAACCAAAUCAAGAAUACACAUCACAAAGAGUAUUCCUUUUGUGGCACAACUCGGAAAACUGAUUUUUAGUAGCACAACAUAAAAUUUGUCUUAAGGUCUCUUUAUUACUUGUUAUACAAGUUUGUGACAUGAACUGAACAUUUAAUUUACUAAGGAACAACUAAAAGUCCUACCAAUAAUCAAGCCUUUUGGGAUUUGUCCUUAA